GGGGCUUCCAGAGAGGCCUCCGAGUAGGCCUCCCUGAAGCCUGAACUCGAGUAGGCCCCAAGCAAGGAAGUAAGGAAGGAGGAAGCAGGCAGCAGACCCUCUGCCCAGACCAGACCAUCCAGAACAGCUAUUGCUAGAAUACAAGGCGCAAAGCCCAUUUGUGUAAGAGCACAGAUGACUACUAGAAGAACUCAAGUUACAGAGAGGAACCAUCGAAGGGAAGAUCUUCCACUCUGGAUCGAGCAUCGGGCGUGAGACCGGAAGACCUGAGCCACGCAUGGCAAUGGAAGUUGCCAUUACUUUACCAGUUCCCUCCGAGGAGUGGCAAAUUGCAUGAAGUUCCUGCUUAGAGACCUGCGUGGCCUCCCGGAGAAAGACUUUGGCCGGGCCCUGCUGUUCUUCAGGGAGGUGGUCCAACAAGGGGACAAUAUGGUCCCAAAGAAAAGACUGGUAUUUGGCAUAAUAUGCCUGGUAGUUUGUAAUUCUUGUCAAUAAAGAAGCCAUGGAGUAUAAACGCCUUCCAAACA